GAAGGUUGCGCGAGGAGGUGAGAACAGGCGCGCGAUUGGCUUCGUCGCUGCCCCACAGCACUGGUCGUUUCCUUCCCCAGAUACGCCCGCCCCGCUCCAACCCUCUUCUCCUCCUCACGUACGGCACCUCCUUUCUCCUCCCUCUCCCUCUCUCUCUCACCCACUGGCGGCGGAGACUGGAGGCGUAACACUGCACGCGCCGGCCGGCGAGGAGGAGCUGCGCUGUCGCCAGCGCACCAACUGCGUCUACUGCCUCGCCUCCCCGUUGACCUACAAGAAGGUAUAUUCCCACAUUGAACUGAAUUAUUGCUAUAUUCGGUUGAUUCAGACAUAUUGUAUCUUCAAUGGCUUUCACUGCUGGGCAAAAUCAAGCGAUGGAAGGUAUUAUACUUUACAGAUCCAUGGUACAUUGUGGUGUUAUCUGCUACUGAUUUACAGGCCUUGUGGUUGUCGUUCCCAUGGCUGUGCCGUUCACGUUUAUGCAGGGUUUAAAGUUUGAUUUAGGAUGAGCACACAAGUUUGAUGUUUGCAGUUACAGAUUUUUGUCAAAGCCCGCUGAAACGAAGUUUAGUUCAGCAGACCAUGUAUGUUGGAAGAAAGCAAAUUUCUUGCCUUCUGAAUCCUCCGUAGCCAUCAUAUUUUAUUUCAGACCGAAUUGUCCCAGCUCAGUGUAUCUCAGCGAAGUAGCGGGUUCAUGCAAGGCCUGGCCGACGGCAACGACUUUAGGGGCUGCCGUGAUUUGCAUACUUCAUCUAGGUAAAUUGUGCUAGCUUUCAGAUUAUUCAUUUUCGUUUUACCCUGUCAAAGAUCUUCUCAGAUUAGUUAACCAAGCUAUGUAAUGAUGGUGUUGUGAUUCCGAGGGCUCCGUUGGAGGAUCAGCUUUGGUUCAGAGGCAGGUUUUGGGCAUACCGCAGCACAAGCAGAGGCAUAUCUCAGUCGAUGCUACUGCAGUUGAUGAUGCCCUGAAGCUUCCUUCAGUAACUGGUAUCACCUGACGUCGGUGUGGUUUUGUGUUCAGAGAAGAUGAGCUGUUGUAUUCUUCUUUCAUAUAGUUGUUGCAGGUUCUUCCAGAUCUAAAUCCAUAGACAAAGCACUGAUUGUUUGCUCUCUUGGGAGUUGUUAUAAUUUGCACAGCUAUUUUUUAAGAUUCAUUUUGCUUACAUUUAUUUAGUGAAGCUCCUGCAAAAGUCAAUAUUCAUUUAGUAUAGCACAAUUUUAUUGGCAGCUAUACAUGGCUUUGCAUCCCAAGUUAAAUGUUAAGUUUGCUUGACCUUGUGGCCUAGAUGGGUAUUGUUAAGCAUUUUUCCCUAAAAAGGGCAAUUCCUUAUUCAUAGGAUAUAUUGAAUUCACUGCACAUUGGUACAUCGCGUGAAAUCUGUAAUCAAAUGUUACUCGUAUUGCAUAUUGAUUGUUUUUGUGCAGGCUUGUACGCUUGAUUUUAUUUCAAGAUUUAUUGGUAUUCUUCUUAGAUGAGGUAGGGUCUGCAUUCUUUUUUUAACAGGAGGAUAUAUGUAUUCUGGACACAGUCUGUCCAUCUAGCUCUUUCUUAUAUUUGAUUUAUGAGCAAUUGUCUGACUAUAUUGUUCUUUUCACCCUCCAUGCACGUGUUCCGUUGAAGUAGACAACCAGUGGAUCAAUGUGCCUGCUUUAAGUAUAGUGAUGAAACUUCACACUUCCCUGCAGACUCAGCGUGCCGCUGUUCUCUAAGGUCGUUGAGUGCUGAGAACAGGCAAUAUAAUUAGGCUUUUAACGAGAAGUUGGAGGAGAUAAAAACUUUCAGGAAGUGUUUAGGCGAGUUCCAUGCCGAAAAUAAUGUUAUGUGAGCAGAGAGUGCAGGCUUGUGCUCUUCUGUUGAAGAGCUUGAGCAUGAGAGAUUGAAUUAACACAUAAGUCAUGAGAGCAUAUCUUUAGACGAGGAGAGGUGACUGGUCAAAGAAAUUAAGACCCUUGAAAAAACCAGAGCGAGGGUCAGUUCCAAUGCUGCUAAGCAAGCUAAAAUGGAAGAUAUAGUGGUUGAGAGAGAUGCCAUACAGGAUCAGGUGAAAAUCAUCAUACAUGGAGUAAAGGAGGGAGAAGCAGCCAUGUCUAAGAUUAAGGUCCUGGACGAUGAGGCGAUGGGCGUGGAGAGCUGCUACGAGCUCGCGCAGGCGGCAUACGUCAACCUCGCGCUGCACACGCUCAAGCACCUGGCGCCCGUCGUCAAUGGGCUCCUCGUCCAUGAUUAGCUGGACAACAUGAACCUCGAGGAGGUUGUGAAGGGGAACAUCUGUGACGCCGUUCUUUAGGUCUUUGGGAGUUUGCUAGCAGUCCUGGUCAGACUUGGACCAGGGACUAGCGUCCUGGAUGCCUUGGCACGCUCGGCUCCACCGGUGUUGCAAGCCAGUUCAUUUCAGGAUCAUCAAGCUUCCCGUGUACAUCUACCACCCAAGCCAUGUGAACGAGCCGAUGAAGAUACUCAACAUUAUCUGCUUCAGCUACUUCCUUCGUAACUACAAGAUACUUAAGAUGGAGGCCUGCUCGUCGAUGCUCCACUGGUUUACUGCAGUUUCAAGGGCUUAGGGAGCGCCUCCUUGUUGACAACCUCUUCCUUGCCAAGCUUGUCAUGGAGUGCGUCGUCGAGCCAUCAGCAAUGUCUGUUUUAUUUUGAGAAGCCGUCAUUCACCGGAUUUAGAUAGAUCAUCCGCGACUGCCACUGCCGCCUGUCGGAGCUUUACCCUAUUUUGAACUGUGGCUCCACUUUUGGACAGAAUGUACGAUUAUGUAUGCCAGUAUCAAAAACUGUGUCCCCUUCA